AGUAGCUGUAGGUUUUGAAUCACUUUUUACCAUAGUCACUGCCAACAAAAACCUUAAUUGGAUUAAUUAUAUCUAUUACAACCAACAGCGCUUCGUGAACUACACCAGGGAUGCCCUCCAGGGCUUGGCCGAGCAAUUACAGGCCACAUCCCAAAUGACCUUCGAGAACAGACUGGCCUUAGACAUGAUCUUAGCCGAAAAAGGGGGGUCUGUAAAAUACUUCCCGACACUAUGACUUGUUGCACUUACAUUCCAGAAAACACAGGUCCUAAUGGUAAAGUCACUCUAGCCAUAGCUAAAUUAAAUAGACUCUCAGAAGAGUUAAAGAGAAACUCUGGAGUUACUGAUCCCUGGGAAAAAUGGUUUGGUUGGAUGACUGGUUGGCAGAGAGCUUUAGUCCAGAUUGGU